rnacentral:rRNA from 1 species
UGUCAGCAGCCGCGGUAAUACGUAGGGGGCAAGCGUUGUCCGGAUUUACUGGGUGUAAAGGGCGUGUAGGCGGACUUAAUAGUCAGUGGUGAAAUCCUGCGGCUCAACCGUAGAACUGCCUCUGAUACUAUAAGUCUUGAGUUCGGAAGAGAAAGAUGGAAUUCCAGGUGUAGCGGUGAAAUGCGUAGAUAUCUGGAAGAACACCGGUGGCGAAGGCGAUCUUUUGGUCCGAAACUGACGCUGAUACGCGAAAGCGUGGGGAGCGAACAGGAUUAGAUACCCUGGUAGUCCACGCUGUAAACGAUGAAUACUAGGUGUCGGAUUUUAUAUUCGGUGCUGUAGCUAACGCAUUAAGUAUUCCACCUGGGGAGUACGAUCGCAAGGUUGAAACUCAAAUGAAUUGACGG